rnacentral:rRNA from 1 species
UACGGAGGGUGCGAGCGUUGUCCGGAAUUAUUGGGCGUAAAGGGCUCGUAGGCGGUCCAUCGCGUCGGGAGUGAAAAGCUGGGGCUUAACCCCAGUCCUGCUUCCGAUACGGGUGGACUAGAGGUAGGCAGGGGAGAACGGAAUUCCUGGUGUAGCGGUGAAAUGCGUAGAUAUCUGGAGGAACACCGGUGGCGAAGGCGGCAUUCUGGACCGACAUUGACGCUGAGGAGCGAAAGCCAGGGGAGCAAACGGG